rnacentral:rRNA from 1 species
GAUGAACGCUGGCGGCGUGCCUAAUACAUGCAAGUCGAGCGAACGGACGAGAAGCUUGCUUUUCUGAUGUUAGCGGCGGACGGGUGAGUAACACGUGGAUAACCUACCUAUAAGACUGGGAUAACUUCGGGAAACCGGAGCUAAUACCGGAUAAUAUUUUGAACCGCAUGGUUCAAAAGUGAAAGACGGUCUUGCUGUCACUUAUAGAUGGAUCCGCGCUGCAUUAGCUAGUUGGUAAGGUAACGGCUUACCAAGGCAACGAUGCAUAGCCGACCUGAGAGGGUGAUCGGCCACACUGGAACUGAGACACGGUCCAGACUCCUACGGGAGGCAGCAGUAGGGAAUCUUCCGCAAUGGGCGAAAGCCUGACGGAGCAACGCCGCGUGAGUGAUGAAGGUCUUCGUAUCGUAAAACUCUGUUAUUAGGGAAGAACAUAUGUGUAAGUAACUGUGCACAUCUUGACGGUACCUAAUCAGAAAGCCACGGCUAACUACGUG